rnacentral:Y_RNA from 1 species
GGUUGUCCGAGUCCAGUGGUGUUUACAACUAAUUGAGCAGCAAAGCAGUUACAGAUUCCAUGUUGUUCCUUCUCCACUCCCACUGCUCCACGUUGACCAGCCCUUA